rnacentral:rRNA from 1 species
UACGUAGGGUGCGAGCGUUAAUCGGAAUUACUGGGCGUAAAGCGUGCGCAGGCGGUUUUGUAAGUCAGAUGUGAAAUCCCCCGGGCUUAACCUGGGACUGCGUUUGAAACUACAAGGCUAGAGUGUGGCAGAGGGGGGUGGAAUUCCGCGUGUAGCAGUGAAAUGCGUAGAUAUGCGGAGGAACACCGAUGGCGAAGGCAAUCCCCCUGGGCCUGCACUGACGCUCAUGCACGGAAAGCGUGGGGAGCGA